CGAAAUGCGAUACGUAGUGUGAAUUGCAGAAUUCCGUGAAUCAUCGAAUCUUUGAACGCAUAUUGCGCUCGAGGCUUCGGCCAAGAGCAUGUCUGCCUCAGCGUCGGGUUAAUAUCACUCCCUCUAUUCCCUGUGAAUAGGAAGAGUGGACCUGGCUUUUCCAGUUCAGUGGCUCCAAGCUGUCUAUUCAUAGCCAGCUUGAAGUAUAUCACCCUGGAUCAGCUGAAGAAUAGAGGCUAACCUGGACCCGUCAAGGGCCGCAACUGGGUAGGCAGCUCACGCUUGCUAUAACUUUAGUUGUUGGCUUGGGACCACGCGUCUGCCCUCAACAGGAAUAUUAACCUUUAUUUUCUCGACCUGAGCUCAGGCAAGAACACCCGCUGAACUUAAGC
rnacentral:misc_RNA from 1 species